rnacentral:rRNA from 1 species
CAAGACAUGAAGUUAGGUCAGCAAACCCGCUGAAUUUAAGCAUAUAAGUAAGCGGAGGAUAAGAAACUAAAUAGGAUUCCCUCAGUAAUGGCGAAUGAACAGGGAUCAGCUCAGCAUGGAAAUUGGGGCCUCCGGCCUUGAAUUGUAGUCUUGAGAUGGCAUUGCCAGCGGAGGCGCAGAUGUAAGCCUCUUGGAAAAGAGCAUCAAUGAGGGUGAGAGUCCCGUUUGUCAUCUGCAGUCCCCCGUUCACGGUGUGCUUUCUAAGAGUCACGUUCCUUGGGAUUGGAGCGCAAAUUGGGUGGUAAAUUUCAUCUAAAGCUAAAUAUUGGUUCGAGACCGAUAGCAAACAAGUACCAUGAGGGAAAGGUGAAAAGGACUUUGAAAAGAGAGUUAAAAGUGCCUGAAAUUGCUGAAAGGGAAGCGAAUGGAACCAGUGUUUCUUGGCUAGAUUGUUGCGUGCUAAAGUGAUGGCUCGCUGCUUCAACGCAAGUGUUGCAGUGGGUUUUGAUCUGGACGUGCGCGGUGCUUCUGCCUUGUGUGUCAACGUCGGUUCAGACUCGAGGAAAACUCCAGGGACAUGGAUAAUCGCUCCUGGGUGAUUGAACGUGCCUGGCAGAACUCAUUUCUGAACUGAUUCCUGCAUGUCUGGUCGCAGUGCUUUUCACUGCCUGUGUCUCGUUCGGGGUGCCUUGUGUGCUCUGUGCUGGGCCGGGACGUGGAGCAUCUCCCUGACAUAAGUACGAUGACAAAAUGGUUUUAUUCGACCCGUCUUGAAACACGGACCAAGGAGUCUAACAUAUGUGCAAGUUCACGGGUGUUAAACCUGCUUGCGCAAUGAAAGUGACUGCUGGGAUAUUUGCACCAGCAACCGACCAAUCAAUUGUGUGAGGUUUGAGUAUGAGCAUAUCUGUUAGGACCCGAAAGAUGGUGAACUAUGCCUGAGAAGGGCGAAGUCAGGGGAAACUCUGAUGGAGGCUCGUAGCGAUACUGACGUGCAAAUCGUUCGUCAUACUUG